UCAGCUCAAACUGCAGAACCGCUCUGUGUGGCAACUGUUGAACAAAAUGGACUCUCACAAGGAGGAGGGAAAAAUCCCACAGGAAAAGAAGGAGAGGAAGAAAAAUCAAUGCAAGGGACUUGGGGGGGGACGACGAGAGGCGAAAGCAGGAUUUUCCUCAAGGCACGGCCAGAUUUAUUUCACCUGUAAUUAACAAAUGAAGGAAACAUACCUGCCCGAACCUGGGAAUCCUAGCACGCGUGUGCCCUGUGUGCAGAUACUGAAUGCAUGUACUGAAGCAGAGAGGUCCUCUUCAAACCUCAUUAAUGCCUUCAUGCAACUGUCAAAGACAUAGUCCGACCUGCAAUUAACAUUAUUAUGUUAAUAAUAUAACUAAUGUUAGUAAUAUAACUGGAUCAACUUCUCAUCGGCAGUAGUUUCUUUUAAUUACUCUUCAAACUAAAUAAAAUGGCAGUUUAUAGUUCAGCUGUGUGGCAAAAUAUGAUUUAGAUUAAAUGAACAAAGUUUUUACAAAAACUGUAAAUGUAAACUAUGCAUACUAUCAACAAGCGAGUUAAUUAGAUGUGCAGACCUCCAACCCAAAUCAGAGCGGUAGGGAAGAUUGCAGAGUGGUAUUCAAAGGGGUGGAACAUCGAGUGCAGAAGAUCGUCCUAACGUUACCACAGUCCAUGAACAAUCCUCUAGUUCCUCAUACAACUGAAAUAACACACCAAAAUAUCUGCAUGCAAUGGAUAUUUCCUCUCUGCCACUGCGGCAGUAAUAAUCUCAGUUCAGCACUAUAGAGAUGCUCAGACUCUCCAUUAUAACCACUCAGACAUAAAACUGAUGAAUGACAUUUUAUGAUUAAUUAUCCACAGUUUUUAAAAUCACUUUUCAGUUGUUGUGAGAAAUCCUGGAAAUCCUGCAAAAAGAGUGAUAUAUUCCCAGGAAGUAAUAAUUUUAACCGUCAACCCUAAUUAACACACUAUCGCAGAUGUAACCUUGAAAUACUGGAGGAAAAUCUUCCCAGAAACUGGCAGAGGAAUUCUACCAAACUUCCUUUAAGUCAGACUAGUAUUUCAGAGAGCUGCUUAUGGUGAGGGUGUGUUUGUUGUGUUUACUAUGGUGGGGACUGACCAUCUACAGAGUGAUGGCACAGUGUCAGGCAGCAGCAGAUAGGACAC